GGGCCCCGGUGGGGCACUGUCGGGCCCGAGCCGUGUCGCGCCGCCCCCAGCGCGACCGCCUCCCCGUCCCGAUCGAGUCACACUCAAGAACCAAAGAUGGUGUGCGCACUUGUCUGUGGUCAUUUCCCAUUAUAAUGAAUGGGAGGCGCAGUUUCUACCAAAACACUCGCUGCAGACAAACUUCAUGUCCUAUUUGAAAAAAGUCUGGACCAUGAGUGAGGGCACAAACACAGCUAUGAUAUAUCGAAAUGCCAGGUUGCUCCUCCUUACGGUGUUGCCUGGAGAGCGAUGCGAUUGAGCCAUUGAGCGAUGGGCAGGAAAAACUUGACUUUUUCUCCUGCCAUAGGGGGGAUGUGGAUUCUUUUAAGAAUGUGGAUUUUUGGGUCAUCUUUGGCGCCCCCUAGAACGUAAACCGUGGGGUGCAGCGUCAUGAUUUUUACAACUUUGAAUGGCCAUGGGGUGUAGAUUGGCCUGAGCAAAUUUGGUGUCAGUGGGACGAAAGCCUUAGGAGGAGUUAGCCACAUUCCAAUGUGUGCGAAUCGGCAAAAAAUGCAAAAUAGCCCUUUAACCGUACAUUUGACAGAUACGCGCGAAUUGACUUUUUUGUAGAUCUUAUUGAGAUACAUAUGUGUGUCAAUUUUUGUGUCAAUAUGAUAAAGCGUACAGGCGUGACAGUCAAUAGUGUGAAUUUCCACCUUAGGGGACAAGAAAAAAUUGACUUUUUUCUCCUGCCAUGGGGGGGCGCUCUUUUGGGGAGUAAAAAUUCCUUCACAAAUGUGUUGAUGGCUGGACAUUGCAUCAUCCUAGAAAACUUGGAGGCCAGUGAGGACAAAAAUAAAAAGUUAUAAGACUUUUAAAUAUGUGGAUUUUAGGGUUAUCUUUGGCGCCCCCUAGAACCUAAACCGUGGGAUGCAGCGUCAUGAUUUGAAUAACUUUUAAUGGCCAUGGGGUGUAGAUUGGCCUGAGCAAAUGUGGUGCCGGUGGAACGAAAGCCUUCGGAGGAGUUAGCGAAAUUCCAAUGUGUGCGGAUCGGCAAAAAAUGCGGAAUAACCCUUUAACCGUACAUUUGACAGAUACGCGCGCAUUGACUUUUUCGUAGAUCUUAUUGAGAUACAUGUGUGUGUCAAUUUUUGUGUCAUUUUGCCAAAGCGUACAGGUGUUACACUCAACAAUGUGUAUUUUCACCUUAGGGGACAAGAAAAAAUUGACUUUUUUCUCCUGCCAUGGGGGGGCGCUCUUUUGGGGAGUAAAAAUUCCUUCACAAAUGUGUUGAUGGCUGGACAUUGCAUCAUCCUAGAAAACUUGGAGGCCAGUGAGGGCAAAAAUAAAAAGUUAUAAGACUUUUAAAUAUGUGGAUCUUAGGGUUAUCUUUGGCGCCCCCUAGAACCUAAACCGUGGGGUGCAGCGUCAUGAUUUGAAUAACUUUUAAUGGCCAUGGGGUGUAGAUUGGCCUGAGCAAAUGUGGUGCCGGUGGAACGAAAGCCUUCGGAGGAGUUAGCGAAAUUCCAAUGUGUGCGGAUCGGCAAAAAAUGCGAAAUAACCCUUUAACCGUACAUUUGACAGAUACGCCCGCACUGACUUUUUUGUAGAUCUUACUGAGAUACAUGUGUGUGUCAAUUUUUGUGUCAUUUUGACAAAGCGUACAGGCGUGACAGUCAAUAGUGUGAAUUUUCACCUUAGGGGGCGCUAUGGAGCCAUUUUGCAUUUUCUUGUUUGGGCGACUUCGGAAUAUCAAAUUUUUCACCAGGCCCGGUCGUCCUGCCAAAUUUCAUGAGUUUUCGCGGGUGGGAAGUGGGCCAUUUUCCAGUUCAAAGGGGAGGAAAAAUAAUAAUAACAAAAGAAGGAAACUACAGGAACAAGAGGGCUCUCGCAGCUGCUUAGCAGCUACGCUCGGGCCCUAAAGAAAGAACUAGGACCCCGUUGGGGCACUGGCGGGCCCGAGCUGUGUCGCGUCCCCCCCCAACGCGCUGCCUCCCCGUCCCAUUUGUGUCCUCUGGCCAUCGCCCUCUCUGGUAACGCCCAUCACUGCAAAGACCCUUUUCCUUCAUAGGCGUUUGCUGUUCUUCCUGCCAGUGCGUGUUGCUUUCACUUACACUUGCCACAGCCAGCCUCGUGAGUGCCUAGCCUAUUGGAUAUCACUGUCACCUACACAGGACAGUCAUUACCUUUCUAUUAAUACUUUGUUUUUUAAUUUCACAUUAAUUUCCAUAUUGUAUAAACAACUGGAAAAAACUUGAAAAAAACUGGAAAAAUCAUGUGCACGUCUCUGUUCUAGCUCUAAGGUGAAUCUUCACUGCUCAUGUUCUCCUCAGAAGCAGUCACCUCACUCCCCUCAGGUUACUGUACACAUGCACCAACUGCCUGCUUCAGGUUUGGAUGGAGCUUCAUGGUUGUCUUUUGGAGAAAUGACCAGUCAAGUUGUGUUUGAAAUUUGAUUUUUUUCAGGGGCAAAAGGAGCCUCUGCAUUCUUGUCAAAUAUGUAAAUAGCAUGUUUUUGCAGGUGCUAAAAACCAGACUCUGAGUGUGUGUGUGUGUGUGUGUGUGUGUGCGUGUGUGUGUGUCUGUGUGUGCGUUCAAGUCACAUGACAUAUUUAACCGGAUGUAGCUGCAAGACGGAGCCUCGUUGACUCUCCGUUUCAACUUAUCUCAAAAGUGAGGACCUCAACCUAUAUACCAGUUUUUAAAUUGUGUUGAUAGGCCAAAUAAAACCAGAGUUAUGAUAAAUUAUGUCCGCGAUACUUUUUUUCUGCUUAUUUUGAUCACGUUCGGCGCUCGAUCGCGCUGUAUGAGACAGGAAAACAUAGCAUGCAGACAUUAGCGACAGGUCUUACAGGCGGAAAAGGCUUGCCAAAAGAAAAAAAAACACACCACAACAUCUCUCCUAUUGGUGGAAAACUUCACCACAACAACCAAUCCAAAAUUAUAUGGUGACUGAUUGACAAGGGGCGGGCGCUUACGUUCUUCCUGCAACAUGAGAAGGGAGGGAGGGACUCUCAGCAGGGAUGCAGUCUGGGACACGUAGUUGCAAACCUAGCG